CCUACGGGAGGCAGCAGUGAGGAAUAUUGGUCAAUGGACGAGAGUCUGAACCAGCCAAGUCGCGUGAAGGAUGACUGCCCUAUGGGUUGUAAACUUCUUUUAUAUGGGAAUAAAAUGUUCCACGUGUGGGAUUUUGUAUGUACCAUAUGAAUAAGGAUCGGCUAACUCCGUGCCCGCAGCCGCGGUAAUACGGAGGAUCCGAGCGUUAUCCGGAUUUAUUGGGUUUAAAGGGAGCGGAGGUGGAUUGUUAAGUCAGUUGUGAAAGUUUGGGGCUCAAACGUAAUAUUGCAGUUGAAACUGGGGGUCUGGAGUGCAGGAGAGGAGGGCGGAAUGCGUGGUGUAGCGGUGAAAUGCGUAGA
rnacentral:rRNA from 1 species